rnacentral:rRNA from 1 species
GAUGAACGCUGGCGGCGUGCCUAAUACAUGCAAGUCGAGCGAACGGACGAGAAGCUUGCUUCUCUGAUGUUAGCGGCGGACGGGUGAGUAACACGUGGAUAACCUACCUAUAAGACUGGGAUAACUUCGGGAAACCGUAGCUAAUACCGGAUAAUAUUUUGAACCGCAUGGUUCAAAAGUGAAAGACGGUCUUGCUGUCACUUAUAGAUGGAUCCGCGCUGCAUUAGCUAGUUGGUAAGGUAACGGCUUACCAAGGCAACGAUGCAUAGCCGACCUGAGAGGGUGAUCGGCCACACUGGAACUGAGACACGGUCCAGACUCCUACGGGAGGCAGCAGUAGGGAAUCUUCCGCAAUGGGCGAAAGCCUGACGGAGCAACGCCGCGUGAGUGAUGAAGGUCUUCGGGUCGUAAAACUCUGUUAUUAGGGAAGAACAUAUGUGUAAGUAACUGUGCACAUCUUGACGGUACCUAAUCAGAAAGCCACGGCUAACUACGUG